AGCAUCACUCCCACCAUGUUCUAUUGACAAAGAGUCCAGGAGCAGCCUAGACUCAAAGGAGGUGAAAAGAGUCUGUCUCUUAAUGUGGAAAUGAUGAGGUCAAACUGCAAAAUCAUCUGUGGAAUGGGAGAUGUGAUUCAUCAACCAUCUCUGCAAGAUCAAGGGGAGAGGCCUGGGGCAGCCUGUCUUUCAAAGCUCUCAGAAGGAACCAGUUGUCCAGAACCAUAGAGCACAUGUCUGCUGUGAAAGCCAGCUGGCCUGUGGUGCAUUGUGAAGGAGCCUGGGAAACUAUUGCCAGUAGCCCUGGGACCUUUGUUGAGCACCAAGCCUGGGAUUAAUUAACAACCAAAAGAACAUGCCCAGAGACAGGAACUACAAGAUCAGUGAAUCAUGAAAUCGUCACUAGAAACCACCACCGACGGAGCCCUUUCUGCAGCUGCAGUGUUGCUGUUCUUCUUGUUGAACCUCAGCUGGGAAAACUCAAGGGAUACAGAACUCACCACCUCCCUCCCCCAGCUCAUUCGCACAUAAGACCAUGCUCUGUCUUCUAAAAAUAUUCCUUUGUUUUGAAACAAAAUCUUCCCCUCUUCAACUUUCACAUCUUCAAAAGAUGGGAAUACAGUCUUAACAGUCUUAACAGUCUUGAAAACACAAAAAUGAAAUUUGGUGAUAAGAAAAUAAGAAUAAGUGGCCAAAAUAAACAGAAUUCAGAAGCUUGCUGUUUUAACUGGGAGCAUCAUUCACAAGGAACAUUAAUAUCUGCUAAUGAGAAUGUAUAAUCCUUUUAAUGGACUGCUAUCAGAAGCGAAGCCUGGGGAAGGAAACAUCUCAUAACAAGCAUGCUUUGCAACGCCCAGGCUCAUUUAGCAAACCCACAGUUUCACGAAUAAAAGGUCAGAUAAUUUUGGCUCUCUCCCACAUAGAGCUUAUUAGUAGCCCCUGCAGAAAUGACUUCCCUUCAUUUACAUAUUAAAAUAAUAUUGUUUCAGACCUCUAAGCUCACCAGAAAAAUUGGUCUUCAGCUCAACUCCUUUAAAAAUAUCUGUCUUUUCUCUCCUUCUGGCUAUCAGG
ensembl:lncRNA